rnacentral:rRNA from 1 species
AGAGCGAACGCUGGCGGCAGGCUUAACACAUGCAAGUCGAGCGGGCGUAGCAAUACGUCAGCGGCAGACGGGUGAGUAACGCGUGGGAACAUACCUUUUGGUUCGGAACAACACAGGGAAACUUGUGCUAAUACCGGAUAAGCCCUUACGGGGAAAGAUUUAUCGCCGAAAGAUUGGCCCGCGUCUGAUUAGCUAGUUGGUGAGGUAACGGCUCACCAAGGCGACGAUCAGUAGCUGGUCUGAGAGGAUGAUCAGCCACAUUGGGACUGAGACACGGCCCAAACUCCUACGGGAGGCAGCAGUGGGGAAUAUUGGACAAUGGGCGCAAGCCUGAUCCAGCCAUGCCGCGUGAGUGAUGAAGGCCCUAGGGUUGUAAAGCUCUUUUGUGCGGGAAGAUAAUGACGGUCCGCAAGAAUAAGCCCCGGCUAACUUCGUGCCAGCAGCCGC